GGGGGGGAGGAAUCAAAUGAGCACUCUAAAAAAUACUCAAGCAAAUUUCAUUUUGCAAAAUGUCUGAGAAUCCCCUUUUCCUAAGCCUCAUCUCCAGCUGGAACCAGCAGCAUACAUUUUGCAAAAAUCAAGGCUAACAGCUUUGCAAGACAGGAUUGGGUUAUUCAUUUAUAAGCAGAGUCCGAAGCAUGGAGAAGGAGACAGCCUGGAUUGUGCAGAACAAAUUUGAAACUAACAAAUCAGCUGAUUCUGCCUCCCUGGUCGGCGUGCUUGUAUGACACAUACAUUUUUGCAAACUCGUGUUGGUGACAUACACUUAAAAUCUUUGGCACAGAUGUACAAACCUAAUGUGUGAAAAAGUGUAAAGACAUAAAAAGGAUCCUGAACCAAAACUAUUGAACUGAUUUGUGAUUCCAUGGCUCUUUGUUUAUUAUACUAGUAAAUGGACCCAGGUUCUCAUAGGUUGAAAUGUCUUUGUUUAAUAAAGUGAAGUCUUCAAACAAACUUACACAUUUUUUUAGAAUUAGAAACACUGCACUCAUUCCAUUUGAGUAAUGCUACGCAUGACAACUGGACCACUGCAGCCCUCUCAGAGAAGUCACAUCCUUUCUUAAAUCAGAUAGCCAGCAUUGGCCACUAGGUUCCUUAUGGCAUCCUUUCCCACAUCACUGGUUCCCUUCCAUAACCAUUUACUAUUGUCCUCUCUUCCAGACAGAAAAUCUCACAUUAACUAUUGUUCUCCCUCCAGAAAUAGAAAAUUUCCAGUGCAGACCAUACUUCAGCCACAGCCUCUCUUGCUUUGCAAACAAGGACAGCUAAUCAGACUCACUGCAAGAGCAGCUGGGACAACUAACUAGCGCUAUAGAAGGAUUUCCCAUUGUGUUUCUGCAGAGGCUCAAGUUCUGUACAGUGAUUGUGAUCCAGUCCCGCUAUUCGAAUUUCUAACCUUGGCUCUUUGGACACAGACUGAGAAAGUGAAGCUACAGCAGCACAAGUAGCCAAGUGGGUUAGGUUGGCCUUAACUGGCAUUUGGAUUCAUCAAUUGGAGAAUAUUCCUUUCAAUCAGCAAGAAAGGAACUUAUGCAGACGUGGUGACACAGUGCCUUUGCCUGCCUCUUCCUCCACUCCACUGAACCACAGGAAGUAGAAGCAGUGGCAAUUUGGAAAUAAUGACUUUGCUGAAGCAGAUCAUCUUGAAGAUUCACCCCAUCUCUUAUAUGCAGAGAGAAUUCAGGCUACUGAGGACCCAGUGGACUUAAUCAACAAGUGCCAAGUUAUGUAGAUUAAAGAAGGUACAGGUUAAUAUCUUGCUCACUGAAUCCAUCAGCCUCAUGGCAGAAGGUGCGAAUGGUUCCUGGGCAUCAGGCACAGCACACUCAUGCUGACACAGGGCAGCUUUAGCCUUUGGUGAAUGAUUUUGAUGGACAUAGAGCUGGUUCAAUUUCAUGGCCUUAAGACAUGCAGAUGGUUCUGGAAUGUCAAGAAAUAGUAAAUGCUGUGGUAGCAGCUGGGAGCAGGAAGCAUGGAGAAGCUUCCAACAGAGGAGGACUCUGGCAAGAACUGAGCUGCAGGUUUUUUCACUGGUGUUCAGAGUGGUGGUCAGACAGCAGAAUGUGAAAGAGCAAUUUCCGUUUUCUAUUUGAUUUCAAUCUUACUGUUCAAGAGUAAGUGCACUUGUCAAAAAACCAGGCAAGGAUACAGUGUGCUGCCUGCCCCCAAUCAUUUCUCUCUAGUAAGGGUGUAAACAACUGAAGCUUACUUUUUUUUUUUUUUUGGUGGCUCAAAAGCAGAACAUCUGCAGAGUCCCAUUGUCUCAGGUGAACAAAAAAUGUUCAUGAAAUCACUUAGAUAAUAUCCCAAAA